CCAAAUCCUUCCCACUAGCUGCAGCAGCAAUCAAGUUGGCUUUAAUCUGCUUGCGCAAUCCAUUUCUCCUAUCAACUAUGUCCGAAUCAUCACCUCCAGUAAAUAAAGAUAGAUAUUUCUCAGUCUUGGGGAAAAACCUAACAUAUUCAAGAUCUUCUUUCAACUUAGAAAGCUGCUCAGUAAUCUCUGCAUCCUGUGCCUGACCAGAUGAAGCACGUUGUAGUUUCUCCAGACGCCUAAUUCUUCUUUCUAUUUUUCUUCUUUCAAAAAAUUUUAUUUUCCUAUCUCGCAGGAAUAUUUUGCGUUCCAAAGCCAGCCUUGAAUGAAUCUCCUGUUGCUUCUUAAGCCCUUCUAACUUUUUUUCUUGAGCCUCUCUGACUUCAGGAGGAAGUUCCUUGCGGAGCAUGCGCUCUGUGGAGCGAAUCUGGUUCUUAAGAGAAACGGACUUGGGCUUUGGCUUCUUCUCUACGCCUAUUCCCUUGGAUCGCCGCCCCAGAUGAGGCUUCCGUUCGGCGACCCUGCGCUUCCCGUAGCCACCAUGGGCCAUCGGCUUUCCUCAAUUCACUAUUAGCUGCUUUCCGUAGCUUAGCACCAGAUAGAGAUAAAAAAGAU
rnacentral:misc_RNA from 1 species